UACGGGGGGGGGCAAGCGUUGUUCGGAAUUACUGGGCGUAAAGGGCUCGUAGGCGGCCAACUAAGUCAGACGUGAAAUCCCUCGGCUUAACCGGGGAACUGCGUCUGAUACUGGAUGGCUUGAGUUUGGGAGAGGGAUGCGGAAUUCCAGGUGUAGCGGUGAAAUGCGUAGAUAUCUGGAGGAACACCGGUGGCGAAGGCGGCCACUCUGGGCCAGAAACUGACGCUGAGGAGCGAAA
rnacentral:rRNA from 1 species